ensembl:lncRNA
CGACAGCCUAUCUGAGCGUGGGCUCCAGGCGGUGGGUGCACCGAGGCACGAUGCCUCUCCUUUCUGAACUCACCUUGCCCAUCUGUGGAAUGGGGCAGUAACAGUUCCCACUGCACAGGGUGGCAGCGAGGAGUACUCGGAAGGGGGCAGCGAAGCCUUAGCACGAGACGCACCCGAGGGAUGAGCCAGCACUUCCUUCCAGAGACUACACAGUGUUCCAGAGAGCUGAGCACAGGAGCCUGGCUUUGUACACAGAAAAUGACUGAAGAAAGCAAAAUCGAAAAGUAGAUUGGUCACUUCCAUUUCUUUCCUUGUGGGGUCGGGACAGAAUAAUAGAAAAAUAACUGAUUGGUUAACAUCAAGUUACUUCAGGUAAUUUUUCCGGGUAAAUUUAAGAUUAGAGGAAACAUCAGUAUCAUGACAAUUAAAACUGAUCUGUCUGGGAAAUUCAGUUGUUCUCCAUAUAAUCCUGAUUUCUAUGACAGCCACACACACAGUUUUUAGAUUCCGCUUGGUGAAACAGCUUAGUUUAGCAUGAAUGAUUCCAUUUUGAUUUUUAGUGUGGUAUCUUGGGGCCCAGUCUAAAGUAAUGAUCUCCUGUAAUUUUUAUUUAGCAACAUCCAGACAUGGAGUUUUUGGAUCAUAGAGUGUACAUAAAGUGCACACACCUGUAAUCCCAGCAUUCAGGAGGCAGAGGCAGGAGGAUCACUGUGAGUUCGAGGCCAGCCUGGGCUACAUAGUGAGAUCUUGUCUCAAAAUACCAAAAUAAAAAGUUUUAGUUAGGUAUUUUCCCACCAGCUGUGAGAGCUGCCCUUACUCCAUAUCCUUCCAAAAAUUUGGGUUAGAUUUUUAAAAUUUUGUCAGUUGAAUGAGUGGAAGUGGUAUAAAUAUAUUUUAACUCUUCAUAAUGAAAAAUUCCAAGUAUUUAUACAGUAGUGAGACUAAUAUAAUGAAUUUCUAUGUCUCUGUCAUCUAAUUCAAUAAUUAUCAAUGCUUAUUGAUUUUGUUCCUCUAUAAUCUUACCAUUAUUUUGAACCAAAUCCCAGACAUCAUACUGUUUCCAUCUGUAAACAUUUCAGUAUAUUUGAUCCCUGGUACCAAAAAAAACAAACAAACAAUAAAACAUUUCAGUAUAUAUUUCUAAAAGAUAAGAAUCCUCUCUUGCCUUUUUUUGUUUUUGUGAUCUUGGGGAUCAAACCCAGGGCUUUAAACAUGUUGAACACGUGUGCUUACCACUGAACUACACCUCCAGCCCAAUUCUCCUUUUUAAGCCUAACUACAAUACAUCAUCAAAGACUCUCGAAUGUCAGGAGUGAUUUUUAAAUAUUAUCAAAUAUUCAAAUAGUGUUCACAUUUUCUCAAUUACCCUAAUUCAUUAUUUUUAUACUUGAUUGAAUUAUAAUUGUGAUUGGUUAAUAUUUAUCUUAAAUUUCUUUUAACCCAUAAAUACCCCUUCCAUUUCUCCCCCUUUCUUCCCAUAUCUUAAAAUUUAUUGGUUAAGUAAAUCAGGUUAUUUUCCUGGCAUCAUUUCCUCAGUUUGGAUUUUACUUGUUAUUGUCCCCAUGGUGUCAUUUUGAACUUUCCUCAGUUCCUGUAAAUUUGUAGUCAGAUCAAGAAUAGGGGCUUGGCAAAUUAUGCAGCAUAGCUUCACUAUUUUUUGUGUUGUUUUGUUUGUUUUGAAAUGGGAUUUUACUAGAACACAGUCAUGCCCAUUUGUUUAGCUUUUGUCUAGG